CUCAAACACAAACUGAAAACACACAUAACAUCCACACCCUCCUCCUCAUAUGCAGAUAGCCUUUCAUAAGGCCCUGGGAGGGCUCCAACCCUAUAAGUUUUUAUUUAUUUAACUCAUCUCCACACUCAACGUGGGGCCCAAAUUCAGGAUGCAGAGAUCAAGAGUCACAUGCUCCACCAACUGAGCCAGCCUGCAGCCCCAGCUUUGUUCAAUGUUUAAUGAAGUUCCGCCCCCCGCCCACUACCAUGUAAGGACACAGCAAGCAGGACGCAGCUGUUUGCCAGCCAGGAGGAGAGUCCUUGACAGAACCUGACCCUGCUGGGCCUUCCCAGCCUCCAGAACUGUGAGAAAAUAAAGGUCUGUUGUCUACACCGCC